ensembl:lncRNA
UUUUUUUUUUUUUUGGCUUUUUAGGGCUAUACUCACUGCAUAUGGAGAUCCUUAACCCACUGAGUGAGGCCAGGGAUCAAACUCGCAACCUCAUGUUACUAAUCGGAUUCACUUCUGCUGCACCACAAGAACCCCUGACUUUGAUUCUUCAAAGACUAUCUUAAAGCAAAAUAAUUUAAUGUCAGGACUGUACUUUCCUACUGGUCCAAAUACCCUAGUAAAUCCUAUAGGGAAAACAUCUACACAAUCAAACCUGGAAUGCUAUUCACUGAUUUUUUUUUUUUUAUUAAGUUAUAUAGGUUUCAGGUACAUUACAUAGUCACUGACAAUUUUAAAAGAUUAUAUUCCAUUUACAGUUAUUAUAAAAUGUUGGCUAUAUUCCCUGCACUGUAUAAUAUAUUCUUGUGGUUUAUUUUAUACAUAGUAGUUUGUGCCAUUUAACCUCCUACCCCAAUUUUGCCCCUCCCCCCACUGGAAACCACUUGCUUGGGCUCUAUACUGUAUGUUUCUUUUUGUUAUGUUCACUAGGUUUUUUUUUAGAUUGGUUUGGUUGUUUGUUUCUUGCUUUUUAGGGCCACACCCGUGGCAUAUGGAAGUUCCCACACUAGGGGUCAAAUCAGAGCUGUAGCUGCUGGCUUAUACCAUGGCCACAGCAACACAGGAUCCAAGCUGCAUCUGCAACCUACACCACAGCUCAGGGCAACACCAGAUCCUUAACCCCCUGAGGGAGGCCAGGGAUUGAACUUGGUCCUCAUGGAUGCUAGUCUGAUUAGUUAACUGAUGAGCCAUGAUAGCAACUCCCAUGUUCACCAGUUCGUUUACUCACUGGUAUAUAACCUUUAUAAUAUGAACAAAGCACAAAUGAAUUACAGUUACAGACAGAAUAUAAAUAUUAUAAACUUUGGUAAUACAUAAUGACUCAAAUUGGGUAGAAGCAAUGGAGAGCAAUACAGAGACACUAAUUUCCUCAGUGAAAGCCCUAUAUUAUAACCUAAAAUUGUUGGAGGAAAAAAGAAUAUGCCUUUAAAUCUAAAAGGAAAGCAACAGAAGAAUUAAAAGAUAAUAUAAGUGAGAAACCAGAAGUUUUCCCACUAAGAUCAGGAACAAGCUAAGGCUGACCCCUCUCACUACUCCUUCUUCAACAUGGUAUUAGAAUUCUAGCUAAUGCAGUAAGAUAAACAAAGGAAAUAAAAGGUAUACUGAUAGAAAAAGAAAAAAAAAACUUUGUUUACAGAUGACAUAAUUUUUUAUAUAGAAAAUACAAACGAAUCAACAAAUAAACUCUCUUGGCACAAAUAAGCUAUUACAGCAAGGUUUCAGGAUGUAAGGCCAAUGUAAAAAAGUCAAUCACUUUCCUAUGUACUACCAAUGAAGUAGAAUUCGAAAUUUAAAACACAGUAUCAUUAUAGUAGCAUUCCCCAAAAUGAAACUCUUAGGGAUAAAUCUAACAAAAUUAUACAAUAUUAGGUUUUGAGGAAAGCUACCAAACUCAAAAGAAAUCAAAGAACUAAGUAAACGGAAUGAUAUUCCAUGUUCAUGGAUAGGAAGACUCAAUAUUAUCAAGAUGUUGGUUUUUCCAACUUCAGCUAUAGAUUCAAUGUAAUUCCAAUCAAAUCCCAACAAGUUAUUUUGUACCUACUGACAAACUGAAUCUAAAGAGGCAAGAGACCCAGAAUAGUCAACCCAGUAUUGAAGAAGAACAAAGCUGGAGAACAAGAAACCCUUAAAACUCAGUAAUGAGAAAAUGAAACAACCCAAUUAAAAAACAGCCUCCCCCCCGCAAAAAAAAAUAGGCCAAAGACCUAAACAGACACCUCACCAAAGAAUAUAUACAAGUGGCAAAUAAAUAACUGACUAAAUUGUUUCAUGUUAUAUGUCAUUAGGGUACACAAGUUAAAACAACAAGAUACCUCUACAACACCAAAAUCCAAAACAUUACCAACACCAAAUGCUAGAGAGGAUGUAAAACAAUAGGAACUCUCAUUCACUGCUGAGGGGAAUGCAAAAUAGUAUGCAAAAUAGGAACUUUGGAAGACAAUUUGGCAGUUUCAUACAAAACUAAAUACACUCUUUAUAACUAUACAAGUAUCACUCCUUGGUACCUAACCAAAGGAGUUGAAAACCUGUGUCAAAAAAAAAAAAAAACAAACAAACAAACCCUGUACACUGAUGUUUAUAGCAGUUCUGCUUUUUUUUUUUUUUUUUUUGUCUUUCCUAGGGCUGCAUCCGCGGCAUAACGGAGGCUCCCAGGCUAGGGGUCGAAUCGGAGCUGUGGCCACCGGCCUAUGCCAGCACCACAGCAACACGGGAUCCGAGCCUCUUCGACAAACUACACCACAGCUCACAGCAACACCAGAUCCUUAACCCACUGAGCAAGGCCAGGGAUCGAACCCUCAACCUCAUGGUUCCUAGUCAGAUUUGUUACCACUGAGCAACAGGGGAACUCCAGCAGUUCCCCUGCAAAAAAGUUGCAAUUUAGAAGCACCCAAGUUGCCCUUCACUAGGUGAAUGGAUAAGUAAAUUGUGGUAUACCCAGACAAUGGAAUAUAAUGCUAAAAAGAAACAUAUUAUCAAGGUAGGAAAAGACAUGGACAUGGAUAUUACAAGUGAAAGAAGCCAAUCUGAAAAGACUAUAUAUGAUUUCCAACUAUUUGCCUCUAAAAAAGGUAAAACUAUGGAGAUAGUUUAAAAAAAAAAAA